CCCUUAGAUGUUCUGGGCUGCACGCGCGCUACACUGACGCACGCAACAGGUGCCUGCUCCGAGAGGACUGGGUAAUCAUUUGAGUGUGCGUCGUGAUGGGGAUAGAAUAUUGUAAUUAUUACUCUUCAACGAGGAAUUCCUAGUAAGCGCCAGUCAGCAGCUUGCGCUGAUUACGUCCCUGCCCUUUGUACACACCGCCCGUCGCUCCUACCGAUGGGUGAUCCGGUGAAUGAUUCGGACUUCAGCGGCUCCCCUGGGGUGCGCCGGAGAAAGUUUUGUGAACCUUAGCACUUGGAGGAAGGAGAAGUCGUAACA
rnacentral:rRNA from 1 species